UCUGUUGGGGUACCACAAAGGGGUUCCUGCUCCCGUGGGGCAAGCUCUGAUGUGCAGAGAUCGAACCCCCAGCCCAACAGAGACCGGAGCCUCUGGAGAAGGCAGGAGGAGAUGGCAGCUCUUGGUCAGCAACAGGUUGGAUUUAAAAGGUCGAAGGACACCGUCACAGUAACUCGAUACCCACUGAGUGAUGGAGAUAGUCUGGAAAGAGAGGUACAGAAACUUCUUCCCUGAAUCCACUGCCGCUUCCAGCUGCUGAAGCAGAGAUCGAAUUGUAUCAAUCUUGGAUGAGACGCCAUUCUCUGCAGUCUUUUCAGAGUUCUUUGGUUGAAUACUGUGACUAAGAGUUGGGA